rnacentral:pre_miRNA from 1 species
GGGAGGAAGCCAGACCCUGGGCUGUGUCCCGGUGCCCUGUGCUCCGGGGCCUGCGCUGUUGGAUUCGCUCCCGGCAGCGCAGCCCCCU